UACGGAGGGAGCUAGCGUUGUUCGGAUAUACUGGGCGUAAAGCGCACGUAGGCGGCGUCGUAAGUCAGGGGUGAAAUCCCGGGGCUCAACCUCGGAACUGCCUUUGAUACUGCAAAUCUCGAGUCCGAUAGAGGUGGGUGGAAUUCCUAGUGUAGAGGUGAAAUUCGUAGAUAUUAGGAAGAACACCGGUGGCGAAGGCGGCCCACUGGAUCGGUACUGACGCUGAGGUGCGAAAGCGUGGGGAGCAAACAGG
rnacentral:rRNA from 1 species